AUUGAACGCUGGCGGCAGGCCUAACACAUGCAAGUCGAGCGGAUGAAGGGAGCUUGCUCCUGGAUUCAGCGGCGGACGGGUGAGUAAUGCCUAGGAAUCUGCCUGGUAGUGGGGGAUAACGUCCGGAAACGGGCGCUAAUACCUCAUACGUCCUGAGGGAGAAAGUGGGGGAUCUUCGGACCUCACGCUAUCAGAUGAUCCUAGGUCGGAUUAGCUAGUUGGUGGGGUAAAGGCCUACCAAGGCGACGAUCCGUAACUGGUCUGAGAGGAUGAUCAGUCACACUGGAACUGAGACACGGUCCAGACUCCGACGGGAGGCAGCAGUGGGGAAUAUUGGACAAUGGGCGAAAGCCUGAUCCAGCCAUGCCGCGUGUGUGAAGAAGGUCUUCGGAUUGUAAAGCACUUUAAGUUGGGAGGAAGGGCAGUAAGUUAAUACCUUGCUGUUUUGACGUUACCAACAGAAUAAGCACCGGCUAACUUCGUG
rnacentral:rRNA from 1 species